GACAAACGCUGGCGGUAUGCCUAACACAUGCAAGUCGAACGGACAGAACAGGGAAGCUUUUCGGAGUGGAACUGGAAAGUUAGUGGCGGAUGGGUGAGUAACGCGUGGAAACCUUCCUUUGAAAAGGGGAAAAACCCCGAAAAUUCAAACCAAAAACCCCAAAAAACCUUUGUUUCGCUGGAAGUAGGGAGGAAGGGGGCCUUAAGCCCGGUCAUACAAAAAUGGGUCGCGUCUGAUUAGCUAGUUGGUGAGGUAAAGGCUCACCAAGGCGACGAUCAGUAGCCGGCCUGAGAGGGUGAACGGCCACAUUGGGACUGAGACACGGCCCAAACUCCUACGGGAGGCAGCAGUGGGGAAUCUUCCGCAAUGGGCGAAAGCCUGACGGAGCAAUGCCGCGUGAGUGAAGAAGGCCUUCGGGUUGUAAAACUCUGUCCUUAUCGAAGAGAGAGUGUUGUAGUAACUGACAAUACUAGGACGGUAGAUGAGGAGGAAGCCCCGGCUAACUAUGUG
rnacentral:rRNA from 1 species